ensembl:lncRNA
GCACCAUCCAAUGCUUAAAAAAUAAUCUUUUUAACAUUCAUAUUCAAGACUCUGAUUGUAUUCUUUAAUGUCUUCUAUUGACAGGAAGAUCAAGCCUCUGAGGAGGAGGAGAUGGAGGAGGACAUUUAUGAUGAUGAAGUGUAUAACUAUGAAUAUGAGGAUAAGCUGGAUGCAGAGGAAACUGAAAAUUCCCAAGAUGAGGAGAAAGACAGGAUCCAAACAACAACAGAACGCUCUCUGCUGUCUCCACAAAUCAAAUACACAACAGCAGCUCCCCCUCAUACACAGGAAAUCACGGGGGUCUACAGAAGCACAGAGGGUCCCUUAUCCACACCCACACCAGGGGUCACAGAGCAGUACAGUGAGACCACAUCACCCUCAACUCUCAAUACAACACAGGCCCAGGAAGAGGCGUUGGUCUAGACUCAGUUAGAGGGACACUCAAGCUCUGGCAACGCAUGUGCCCUUCCUGAGAGGGGCCUGUAGAAACUGUGAAGUGUUAAAGCUGGGGAGGAUCUGACUGACCAGCAUUACUUGGGGAGGGACUCCUUUUCCAUCGCACAAUGACGAUGUCUCGGGCCACAUUCAUCGUGCCCAGGGGCGCCUGAUAAGAGUGCAGAGUUUCUGACACUUUACCACUAGCGUUUCACGUGAUAUGCUGCAGGUUUAUUUAUUUGCUGUGCCACAUGCUCAUGAGUGCUCAUGCAUUAAUUCAAGUCAUGUCAAACGUAUUCAUUCAUGAUUAUGACUGCAUAUAUUUUUUUCACCACUGCUUUAUUUAUUGAAAGGAUGUUUUUACUUUGUUUUCUGUGUUAUAUUAUAUAUAUAGUUACAGUAAAAGUAAUGAAAGCACAUGUAUUCUUUCCCAUGGACGGUAUUCUGUUCCCAUGUUUUCACUGGUGAAAUUCAAUGAUAUGGUUACUUUUCUCUUUUGUGUUUAAUCCUCUGUGGUGCAUGUGUGUCAGUAAAUUUGC